CCUUUAGAAGGUUGGCAGUUUCAUGGAUGAACUGUCCAAAGUAGUCUCGGAAGAAGUACCUGGAACCUUGUCUUCAUUAAAGCGUCUGCUUGGAGAUAAUGAUUUGACUGCCAACUUAACAAUCUAAGGCAAAGAAUAUCAGGAAACCAAUAUGAAAAGAAAGUUAGAACAAAUAAAUCAACCUCUCGUGGGCGAAGAAGUAGUCGAAUAAUAAGCUGAUCUCUCUUCUAGAUUCAAGUGAACUGGAGUUUGUAAAUGCUCGAGGUCUGAAGCUGGAAUUGUAAUGAGCAGACAGUGUCAGGGUAGAUUUUACUCUAAUUUCAUAGAUUCCAUGAACACAUUUUGUAUUUUGGAAUAUGGAUUAAGAUCUAUCAGUUUCCAUCUAUUGAUUAAAUGACUGGAAUACUGAUCAGUAUGUGCUUUGGCCUCUUUUUCUCGAAAAAAAAAAUGAAGGAAAAAGACAGUUUAGCCUGUAUUUUUUUUAGAAAUAUACUUAAACUAUAAAAAUCUAGCACA